CGGCAGGACCCGGCAGCCAUGUUGGGGCCGGGAGAAGGAGAAGUGGCCGCCGCCUACGCCAGGAGGAGAGUGCGGGAGAGGCAGCUGCGCAGCCGUGGCCACGGCCAGAGGUGGCGGUGGCCGCGACGGGGCAACUGGCGGCGGGAGUGCGGGGACAAACAAAGCUGAACAAAAGAGUCCUCAAGGUCGAGUACCCCUUAUCCAGACAUCUUGGGACCAGCAGUGUUCUGGAUUUCAGGCUUUUCCACAUUUGGGAAUCUUCUAUAUACAGGCAUAUAAUUCUGAUAGACAGGGUUCUGGAAUGUGAGGAGGAACUCUCGCAAGAGCUCACGACAGUUCCAGCGGCGAGAAAUAAUGGCAGCGGCGAGGAGGUGGACAGCUGAAGAGGCGAGUGGAGGAGGCGGGAGGCGCCAGCAGGACAGCCCGGCCUGGCCGUGAGGGAGGCGGCGGGACGGCCCUGGACCUGAGCGAGGCGGCUUGACUGCAUUUUUAAACUAUGCCCACCUGUGCCGCCCUGUGCUGUGUGCCAGCCUCUGCUGCCACUGGUCUCUUUUUUGUCCUGGCUUCCUUCGACCAGUGUGUGGGGCAGAAGAUACUGGAAGAAGAGGGAGCAACUGGUUGAGAAGAAUCCAGUGGACCAGAGCUCUGCUUGAAUCGUGAAAGAGGUGGAUGAGCCACUGCCCAAACAGAUGUCUGCUCUAGAUAUAGCUCGAGAAGGAAUCGGAAGGAAUUUCCCCCAAGACCUGUGACCACUAUACGUGAGGGAGAGCAAAAGAGACAAUGUUCCAAUCUUCCAGAGCUUUCUAGAAGAUCUCAAUAGGAUAAUUUCUAUUUCAUUUCCUCUCAUCAAAAAUGAAAACUAAAUGGCUAACAAAAGUUUCUAGAAAAUUCCAUUUGUAGGCAAACACAGGCAAAUUCCCAUGCAUGGAACUGCACAGAACGAUGAUGAUGAUUAUUUAAACUACAUAGUUUACAUGGAUGUAGUACUUAUGUACACUAUGUAAUACUUGAGUAGUGCACUCAGAUACAAACUAGAAAAAGCUCAGCAAUAAAAUUCCACAAAUUGCAACAAGAAUAGUUUCAUUCAGAUGUUAAUUUUAAGGAUGGUGUACUCCACACCAUACCAAAUGGAAAUAGAUGUCCCGCCCUGCCUCUGCUGUCCGUCAUUCCUCCUCACUCCUUGUCCUAGGGUGCUCACACUUACGAAGGCUGUAAGUGUGAUGGCGAGAUGCAGGCAUCCAAGUCUCCCAAUCACGUAAGCACCCACCAUCAUGCUUAUGGCCUUUGCCUCUUCAGACAAAGGCUGUAAGCCUCUGUAAGC